rnacentral:rRNA from 1 species
GGAAGAACAAAAGGGCACAUAGGUGGAUGCCUAGGCUCUGGAAGGCGAAGAAAGACGUGGCAAGCUGCGAAAAGCCCCGACGAGGUGCAAGCGACCUUUGACUCGGGGAUUUCUGAAUGGGGCAACCCGGCAGGCUGAAGGCCUGUCAUCCCGACCUGGUCGGGAGGCGAACCCCGGGAACUGAAACAUCUUAGUACCGGGAGGAAGAGAAAACAAACGUGAUUCCCCAAGUAGUGGCGAGCGAACGGGGAACAGCCCAAACCAGGAGGAUUCCGGUCCCCCUGGGGUUGUAGGACUCCGACAUUGCACACAAGUCGCAUAGCAGAACACAUUGGAAAAUGUGACCAUAGCGGGUGAAAGUCCCUUAUGCGAAAUGCGGUUUAGGCAUAGGAGUAUCCUGAGUAGCGCGGAUCACGAGAAAUUCCGUGUGAAUCCGGCGGGCCCAUCCGCCAAGGCUAAAUACUCUCCAGAGACCGAUAGUGAACCAGUACCGUGAGGGAAAGGUGAAAAGAACCCAUAGUAUGGGAGUGAAACAGUCCCUGAAACCAUGUGCCUACAAGCUGUCGGAGCCGCUUUGAAUGCGGUGACGGCGUGCCUUUUGCAUAAUGAACCUACGAGUUGCCGUCGUCAGCGAGGUUAAGCGUAACGAUACGCGCAGCCGAAGCGAAAGCGAGUCUGAACAGGGCAUAUAGUUGCCGGCGGCAGACGCGAAACCAAGUGAUCUACCCAUGACCAGGCUGAAGUCCCGCUAACCCGGGAUGGAGGGCCGCACCAAUAAGCGUUGAAAAGCUUCUGGAUGAGUUGUGGGUAGGAGUGAAAGGCCAAUCAAACUUGGAGAUAGCUCGUACUCCCCGAAAAGCAUUUAGGUGCUGCCUGGGGUGUUUCUCCGUGGAGGUAGAGCGACCGGUAGGAUGCGAGGGUUUCACCGCCUAUCAAGUCCUGUCGAACUCCGAAUGCCACGGUUUUAAGCCCUGGAGAAAGGGGACGGGUGCUAACGUCCGUUCCCGAGAGGAGAAGAAUCCUGACCACCGUCUAAGGUCCCGAAGUUGUGGCUAAGUUAGUCUAACGCAGUUUCCUUCCAGUGACAGCUAGGAUGUUGGCUUGGAAGCAGCCAUUCACUUAAAGAGUGCGUAACAGCUCACUAGUCGAGGAAGGAAGCAUGGAUAAUAAUCGGGUAUCAAGUCACACACCGAAGACGUGGAAUUCUCAUGAAUUGGUAGGGGAGCAUUCCGUUCGGCGUCGAAGCCAUUGCGUGAGCGAUGGUGGAGCGUACGGAAAAGCAGAUGUAGGUAUAAGUAACGAUAAAGGGGGUGAGAUUCCCCCUCGCCGUAAGACCAAGGUUUCCCGGGCGACGUCAAUCGUCCCGGGGUCAGUCGGUGCCUAAGGAUAAGCCGCGAGGCGAGGCCGAUGGAAGAAACGGUUAAUAUUCCGUUACUGUCACUGGGAGCGACGCGGGGACGCGGUCGUGACACCGCCGCCUGCUGACGGAAUAGCAGGUUGAAGGGUGUAGGAGUCGAACGGGGCAGUUAAGUACACCCCGUGAUCCGAACCUGACAGUACGCCAAGGACUCCGGUCCGCGGCGAUAGCGCGGGUAAUCAUGCCGCCGAGAAAAUCCGCUAAGCAUAUGUCAGUGACAGCCGUACCGUAAACGGACACACGUGGUCGGGUAGAGUAUACCAAGGCGCUUGGGUGAUUCGCGGUUAAGGAAUUAGGCAAAUUGACCCCGUAACUUCGGGAUAAGGGGUCCUCGCAUUUUUUGCGAGGCGCAGAGAAUAGGUCCAGGCAACUGUUUACCAAAAACACAGGACUGUGCGAAGUUUAAUAUCGAAGUAUACAGUCUGACACCUGCCCGGUGCUGGAAGGUUAAGAGGAGAGGUCAGAGCAAUCGAAGCCUUGAAUUGAAGCCCCAGUAAACGGCGGCCGUAACUAUAACGGUCCUAAGGUAGCGAAAUUCCUUGUCGGGUAAGUUCCGACCUGCA